rnacentral:sRNA from 1 species
UGGGCUAAGCCUGGCUAGGAGCCGCGCAGGUACUCGAGCAGUGGGCGCCCAGGGUCCGAGUGCUCUGCGCCCAGCGCACCGAGGGAGCCAACGUCGGGCCGGCGCUUUCAGCUGUCUCUCGCAGCAGCUCAGGGCCGCGCCCCCUGGGCUGGCGUCGUGCCCUGGCCAAGGAGAAGGUGGGCACCGGAACGUGGCCGCAGCGCUUAUCUGUGAAGCAAGUAUUAAACCUCAGAACGGGGGCCGCGCGGCGUAAGGCAGGAGAGCAGAGCGGAGGUUUCAGGGAGCUUCGUUUGCCCUCCACACUCACAAGCGUCACGCGUUAGUUGCUACACAACUUUAUCUGUUCCACGCCUUGAUUGGCACUCCUGGGGUAAUAAAAGCCCGCAGGAAAUGCUUGGGAAGAAAAGUUGCUGGGGAUGAACAGUGAAGAGAAUUAGGGAGAGUCGAUGAAGAAGGAAGUCUGAACCAUAAAAGGACCAAUAAAACUCACUGUUUCUACCCUCCUUCCUUCCCAUGAGACCUUUGACCUUUUGCCUUUUCUACUUCUUCCUCAGUUUCAGUCACGUGCCAGACUUUUUCUUAAUUACAAACUGAUAGAUGGUCCACAUCUCAACUAACAGUAUUGACGCUGUAAGAGCAUCAGAUUUGAAACAUAUCUGUGUUAAUGAAGAGUGACUGCAUGCAAACGACAAUAUGUCAGGAAAGAAAAAAAGAUCCCAUAGAAAUGUUUCAUUCUGGACA